AAACCCCCGGGUCUACCCCGGGGAUCUGCCUUUGAUAGGGGAAGUCGAGAGUUCGGGAGAGGUGAGUGGAACUCCGAGUGUAGAGGUAAAAUUCGUAGAUAUUCGAAGAACACCAGUGGCGAAGGCGGCUCACUGGCUCGGUACUGACGCUGAGGUGCGAAAGCGUGGGGAGCAACAGGAUUAGAUACCCUGGUAGUCCACCCCGUAAACGAUGGAAGCUAGCCGUCAGGUAGCAUGCUAUUGGUGGCGCAGCUAACGCAUUAAGCUUCC
rnacentral:rRNA from 1 species